UUUCUCUGGAAGGGUGUAUCUAGGACAUCAGCCUACCCACAGUUCUGGGCUGCGUCUGUUACUGCCUUGCUUACCCUGCCCCCCACCCAUAACUUCAGAGAAAGGAAAACGGACUGAGCCUCAGCACCCACACACCAUGGCUGCCUUGAAUCCAGAGUCAUCAAUACUGGAGUCUUAAAGAGAAAACCAAGAAAGUCUCAUGUCACCGAGCAGGCUGAAGAGGGCAAGUGAAACCCUGAGGCAGCCAAGAUCUCUGCUGGAAAUCCAAAACAUCAAUUCUAUGUAUUCAGGGAACAAUCUGCAGAACAUUGGGAGAUGAUGCAGUUAAAAUAUCGUCUUCAUAGAGAUGAGGUCAUGACUAUAAACACAAUCUUUUAAAGCAUGAAUGAAUAGUCUUCCUCUUGAAGGGCAGUUGCUUGCAAGGGGAUGUUACUGUCUUUGAGAGCUUCAAAUUUUUGGAAAUUCAAGUUGUGUAUAGAAGAAAAUAUCACUCCUUCUUAAACUGA
ensembl:lincRNA Gm44197 predicted gene, 44197